rnacentral:tRNA from 1 species
AGAAACUUAGGAUAACCUUCAAACCAAGAGCCUUCAAAGCUUAAAAUAUGGGCUAAACCCCAUAGUUUCU